GGAUUCGAAUUUUAUGCCCAGGCCUAAUUUUUGACAUGAUUAUGGUGAAAUUUAUUUUAUUUUAUUUUACUUAUCCAAAAUUGUAUACUGUAUUAGUUAUUUUUUUUUUUGUAAUGGAAGGAUAAAUAUAAAAGGAAUUUUUUUUGGUAGAAAAAUGUAAAUGGAGUUUGAAAAGAGUAUAUUAAAAUUGUGGGUUAUUGAAAUUAUCAUUAGAUAACUAGUAACCUAAAUAUGAUAUUAUUCUUAA
rnacentral:lncRNA from 1 species